UGCAGGCGCGAGGAGGUGACAGAUGAGUCGCCAAGGUGGUGGCCGCCCCAACUGGGUUGAACAGGACUGAUUUUCUUCACUGUAGUAAGAUGGACAUUUCAGCAGCCCAAAGGCGAAGCUCGGCCGAAAGAGUGAUACUAUCCCUAAAUUCCUGCUAACUGAAGGAAGACGGAAUGAAAAUAAUGAGCAAAGGGGAUAAAAGAGGAAAGAAGCUCCACUGAUUCCAGGCAGGAGAAAUGGCCUCACAGACCAGCCCCAGCCUGCAGAAAUGUCUGAGUCACUCUCCUUGGAAGUUCUCCGCCUAACCAACUCAGGGCCAUGACUUAAACUACAAUGAGCAUGACCUCCGGACAUUAACAAGAGAAGCUUGCCUUGGGAGAUGCCUCCGAACCUUCACAAAGAAUUGUUCUCUGCAGCAAUGCUGUUUUCAUGCACACCAGCCAAAGGCCCUGGGACACACUCUGCCAUUGAUUGGGUGAUAACAAAGCCUGUUCAACACAUAAGUGUGUGUACCAGUGCUUUCUCUGCACUCUAUAUUUAAUCACAGGUUUUCCAUGAAGCUUAUAAUGGAAUUAAAGAAAUCAUAAAGUCUUGUAUCUGGAAGGGACCUUGAGUGACUCCCAUUAUGGGCAAGGAAAAGUAAGCUAAGCAGAGAGGGUGAUGACUCCUUUAUCCUGCCUUCAUGUGCCAACAGCUCUUCCAUGAAGCACCACCCCCACCAUGGUGAGGACCUCCUCUGGAAGCUAAAGAUGGCAUUGCCAUCCUUCCCCUACUCAGUUUAAAGGACUGAGUAUCUCCAGCUAUUUGACUGGAGAGGCUGGACAUCAGCCUCCCCUCUCUGAAGCUCCUGAAGACAAGUGGAGUGUUUCCUGGCAAACUGUUCAACAUUCUGCUACAACAGAGUAAUCUGGAUGCCCCAUUGCUCAUAUUGGUAAAAACCUCAGCCAUAAGUGUCUGUACUUAUUCAGAUACUGCUUUGAGUUUGUCUUCUCUUAAGUGCGGCAUGCUACUUGGACAGGGACCUCUAGGCACCCUUCCUGAUUCCCAGGACAGCCCUGGGCACAGGACUUAGAAGUUGGAGCAAAUGCGGAAUGAAAACAAUGUACACAAUCUGUCCCAUCGCACUUCAUGGUCAAUUUGCUGAAAUAGUAUCUGUUUAGAUGUCUAAUAACCACUGCUCUGUUAUUUGUAGAAAGCUGUGUUUUGUUUUCUAAUUAUGUCUUAAGUCAGUCUCUUAUCUGUGCCUUAAUAUCUCUAUAAAAAUGUAUCAAUUUCUCCCUCAUUUAUUAUACCCCAGGGACCCUGAAGGUUUGAAAAGGUGAUUACUAUAGUGUAUUUUUUUAAAAUACAAGUUGCUGUUACCAUGCCUACAAAUCAUAUCCUGGAAAGGGAAAUACAUGUGCUGCUCAGGGUAAGACAGUAAGGGGAGUCCACCAGUGAUCGGGGAAGGGGAGCUCUCAGAAUCCUGAUUUUUUUGGCAGAAAAGAGGUUGUAACUAGCAACGUAAUUCCAACACAAGGUGCCCUUGGGACAUCAGGUAGAAUAACCCAAAAUUAGGUUUCAAAAUGAGAAUUGCAUUUUUUCUAGCGAGACAGCAUAGCUGAUACUGAAUGUUAUUUACAGAUUUGACUUCAGUAGUUUUAAACCAUUUUUCUUGUUUCCGAUAAAUCACGUCAUAGAUAUAGCUACAUAUUAUUCCUUCUUUGUUUUAGAACUAAAUUACCUUUUAAAUAAGGAGGGGAAUGAAUUAUGUUAGUAAAGUCCUCAAAUUGCUUUGCACAACAUCAAUUCAGAGAAACACUUUCCUCCUUCAUAGGGUAAUGGCCCAAGUCGAAAGUAAUAAAAUCAAUAACCAGAUUUGUUGAACAUGUACUAUGUGGGAAUGUAUGCUAAUCACUGCAGGGGAAGCAAAAUUCACUAGGAAUUUCCUUCUGAAAAUGUGCCACCCAAGGGGGGAACAAAGACAUGGAAAUGAACUACAAUACAAGGUGGUGAAUGGUGAGCAGCUGAAGCUACAUGAGCUACAGGAGUCCACAGGAGAGCUCGCUUCUGUCAGGAGUGUGCACAGAGGGGCAGGUUGUUGAGCUGGGCACUGAGGGAAGGAGGCUUGAGCAAGGGGACAUGUGUACAAGGACAUGAAGGUGAGCAGAACAGGGCAGUCCUGCAUAGAGGGAAAGUAAGUUUAAAUCCUGAACUGAUGAGCUGUGUGAUCUUGGGUAAGUUGCUUGAUCUCUCUGAGCUUCCAUUUUCUCACUAUAAAAGGCAGAUAUUAGAGGAACUUAGUUCACAGGAUUGUAGUGAAGAGUAGAGGAGAUAGUGCAAGCAAAGCACUUAGCAGAAUCCCACUUAGAACAAAGAAUAAACCCUCAGUAUAUGAACUAUUGUUAUACAUUCAAAGUUAUAAAAGAGUCCAAGCAACCCUCAGGUUGAACUCUAUGCUGGAACCAAGAUCAGUGAUGUAGGGACCUUGUUUUGCAAUAGCAACUUACAGCCAGAGAGGAAAUGGGUCACGGACUCCACAGCGCCUGUCUUGAACAGGAACAUGGGAGUAACACAGGAAAAUGGGGUCUCAGUCAAGCCCAUCAGACUCUUCCCAUGCACUGGGGCCCACCUAGUGGUGACAACCAUACAUGGAGUCAACUCCCCCUGCUCAGCUCCUAAACCACUUACACCCUUUUUAAAACCUCAUAAAAGAAAUGUCAGAAGGAAGUCAAUCCAGGGAAAUACUUGAGGAUGGUCCCUGUGAUCCUUGCCCCCAAGAAACCAGCCCAGGAAACCGGAGUUACUAAAGGCAGAGACAACCAAGAGAGAUUGCUGGAAGGCCAGGGAGCAUGGAGAGAUUUGAAGCACACCUCCUGCCCAACCCCAGCUUCUCAGAUGACCCAGCGAUGCAGGAACAAUAUUUACUGGAGCCCAGCUAUCAGGGUCUCCAGAUGCCUCAUCCCAGAACCUGUGCAGGCGGAGGGGUUCCUCUGUUCCUGGGGCAACAGGCAAACUGCGGACACAGUCAACUGUCCCUUCCAAGUCCCAGGAAGACUCUCAGAGCCCAUGUGGGCACACCGGCUAAAGGCACUUAGAAACAAGCAAGCCGCCAGAGUAGCCACCUGUCAUCCAGGGCUGAGACCCACAAUGAGGAUGGUCCAGCAGAAAGGUACAAAAAUGGAACCAGGAAGUUCAGGAUGGCACAGGAGGGGCUGAGCUGGCUGGCUGAGGCCCAAGUAUGGUGGCAUUUUCUUCUCCGAUAGUGAAGAGAGAAUGACAUUGUAUGAAGGACAUGGUAACACUUAACAACAAAGGCUAUCAAGAGCUAUGGCUUGGUUUUUAGGAGGCUUGAAUUUACCUUUCUUUGCAUCAUUUUGAUUAUGCUUCAACUGGAAUUACACAGUAUUGUCUUUAAAAGCCCGCAUUUUAAUUAGAAAUGAUAACUUUCAAGAAGAAUGGUAAAAACGGCCACUAAGAAAAUCAGUUAAAGUAGCAAAAUGACUUGUGGUGAAUACAUUUGACAAACAGGAAUGAUGGUAAAAGGUAGUUGAGUAUAUAAAUCACUAAACUGCAUGAAAUUUUAUGAUCAAAAGAGAAUGUACCCAAGGAUAAUUCCUGCACAUCCCUUUCUCUGUCAUCUUCUCUUCCCAGAGGUGUAGCCUGUCCAAAAGAGCAUCUGAGCUUCAAGCAGGUGCUCCCUGGAGCAACAGGCUGCCCUCCGGGGCUGGGUGGGAUCAAGUGCUCCCCAGGGCUGCAGACUGACCACACAAAAACCAAAAGUUGAACCAGGUGCUUCCCUCAGGGUCUUUACUUCUGCUACUAGAUUCUAAAGCCACACAAUUCGCAUAGUGCUUCAAGCACCAUAGCCCUGUAAU